rnacentral:rRNA from 1 species
UACGGAGGGUGCAAGCGUUAAUCGGAUUUAUUGGGCGUAAAGGGGGCGUAGGCGGAGAUGUAAGUCAGAUGUGAAAUUCCGAAGCUCAACUUCGGAGCUGCGUCUGAAACUACAUCCCUUGAGGGUAGACGGAGAGAACGGAAUUCCAAGUGUAGCGGUGAAAUGCGUAGAUAUUUGGAAGAACACCCGUGGCGAAAGCGGUUCUCUAGUUUACACCUGACGCUAAGGCCCGAAAGCGAGGGGAGCAAACAGG